rnacentral:snRNA from 1 species
GUGCUUGCUUCUGCAGCACAUAUACUAAAAUUGGAACAAUACAGAGAAGAUUAACAUGGCCCCUGUGCAAGGAUGACAUGCAAUUUUUUUUUUU